GGGUUGUGAGGUUAAGCGACUAAGCGUACACGGUGGAUGCCCUGGCAGUCAGAGGCGAUGAAGGGCGUGCUAAUCUGCGAUAAGCGCCGGUAAGGUGAUAUGAACCGUUAUAACCGGCGAUACCCGAAUGGGGAAACCCAGUGUGACUCGUCACACUAUCAUUAACUGAAUCCAUAGGUUAAUGAGGCGAACCGGGGGAACUGAAACAUCUAAGUACCCCGAGGAAAAGAAAUCAACCGAGAUUCCCCCAGUAGCGGCGAGCGAACGGGGAGGAGCCCAGAGCCUGAAUCAGCAUGUGUGUUAGUGGAAGCGUCUGGAAAGGCGCGCGAUACAGGGUGACAGCCCCGUACACAAAAGCGCAUGUGCUGUGAGCUCGAUGAGUAGGGCGGGACACGUGGUAUCCUGUCUGAAUAUGGGGGGACCAUCCUCCAAGGCUAAAUACUCCUGACUGACCGAUAGUGAACCAGUACCGUGAGGGAAAGGCGAAAAGAACCCCGGCGAGGGGAGUGAAAAAGAACCUGAAACCGUGUACGUACAAGCAGUGGGAGCNNNNNNNNNNNNNNNNNNNNNNNNNNNNNNNNNNNNGGGCGUUAAGUUGCAGGGUAUAGACCCGAAACCCGGUGAUCUAGCCAUGGGCAGGUUGAAGGUUGGGUAACACUAACUGGAGGACCGAACCGACUAAUGUUGAAAAAUUAGCGGAUGACCUGUGGCUGGGGGUGAAAGGCCAAUCAAACCGGGAGAUAGCUGGUUCUCCCCGAAAGCUAUUUAGGUAGCGCCUCGUGAAUUCAUCUCCGGGGGUAGAGCACUGUUUCGGCUAGGGGGCCAUCCCGGCUUACCAACCCGAUGCAAACUGCGAAUACCGGAGAAUGUUAUCACGGGAGACACACGGCGGGUGCUAACGUCCGUCGUGAAGAGGGAAACAACCCAGACCGCCAGCUAAGGUCCCAAAGUCAUGGUUAAGUGGGAAACGAUGUGGGAAGGCCCAGACAGCCAGGAUGUUGGCUUAGAAGCAGCCAUCAUUUAAAGAAAGCGUAAUAGCUCACUGGUCGAGUCGGCCUGCGCGGAAGAUGUAACGGGGCUAAACCAUGCACCGAAGCUGCGGCAGCGANNUGCUGGAGGUAUCAGAAGUGCGAAUGCUGACAUAAGUAACGAUAAAGCGGGUGAAAAGCCCGCUCGCCGGAAGACCAAGGGUUCCUGUCCAACGUUAAUCGGGGCAGGGUGAGUCGACCCCUAAGGCGAGGCCGAAAGGCGUAGUCGAUGGGAAACGGGUUAAUAUUCCCGUACUUGGUGUUACUGCGAAGGGGGGACGGAGAAGGCUAUGUUGGCCGGGCGACGGUUGUCCCGGUUUAAGCGUGUAGGUGUGUGUUCCAGGUAAAUCCGGUUCACUUUAACACUGAGGCGUGACGACGAGGCACUACGGUGCUGAAGCAACAAAUGCCCUGCUUCCAGGAAAAGCCUCUAAGCAUCAGGUAACAUCAAAUCGUACCCCAAACCGACACAGGUGGUCAGGUAGAGAAUACCAAGGCGCUUGAGAGAACUCGGGUGAAGGAACUAGGCAAAAUGGUGCCGUAACUUCGGGAGAAGGCACGCUGACACGUAGGUGAAGUGAUUUACUCAUGGAGCUGAAGUCAGUCGAAGAUACCAGCUGGCUGCAACUGUUUAUUAAAAACACAGCACUGUGCAAACACGAAAGUGGACGUAUACGGUGUGACGCCUGCCCGGUGCCGGAAGGUUAAUUGAUGGGGUCAGCGCAAGCGAAGCUCCUGAUCGAAGCCCCGGUAAACGGCGGCCGUAACUAUAACGGUCCUAAGGUAGCGAAAUUCCUUGUCGGGUAAGUUCCGACCUGCACGAAUGGCGUAAUGAUGGCCAGGCUGUCUCCACCCGAGACUCAGUGAAAUUGAACUCGCUGUGAAGAUGCAGUGUACCCGCGGCAAGACGGAAAGACCCCGUGAACCUUUACUAUAGCUUGACACUGAACAUUGAGCCUUGAUGUGUAGGAUAGGUGGGAGGCUUUGAAGUGUGGACGCCAGUCUGCAUGGAGCCGACCUUGAAAUACCACCCUUUAAUGUUUGAUGUUCUAACGUGGACCCGUUACCCGGGUUGCGGACAGUGUCUGGUGGGUAGUUUGACUGGGGCGGUCUCCUCCUAAAGAGUAACGGAGGAGCACGAAGGUUGGCUAAUCCUGGUCGGACAUCAGGAGGUUAGUGCAAUGGCAUAAGCCAGCUUGACUGCGAGCGUGACGGCGCGAGCAGGUGCGAAAGCAGGUCAUAGUGAUCCGGUGGUUCUGAAUGGAAGGGCCAUCGCUCAACGGAUAAAAGGUACUCCGGGGAUAACAGGCUGAUACCGCCCAAGAGUUCAUAUCGACGGCGGUGUUUGGCACCUCGAUGUCGGCUCAUCACAUCCUGGGGCUGAAGUAGGUCCCAAGGGUAUGGCUGUUCGCCAUUUAAAGUGGUACGCGAGCUGGGUUUAGAACGUCGUGAGACAGUUCGGUCCCUAUCUGCCGUGGGCGCUGGAGAACUGAGGGGGGCUGCUCCUAGUACGAGAGGACCGGAGUGGACGCAUCACUGGUGUUCGGGUUGUCAUGCCAAUGGCACUGCCCGGUAGCUAAAUGCGGAAGAGAUAAGUGCUGAAAGCAUCUAAGCACGAAACUUGCCCCGAGAUGAGUUCUCCCAGAGACUUAGAGUCACCUGAAGGAACGUUGAAGACGACGACGUUG
rnacentral:rRNA from 1 species